AGUGAACGCUGGCGGUAGGCCUAACACAUGCAAGUCGAACGGCAGCACAGUAAGAGCUUGCUCUUACGGGUGGCGAGUGGCGGACGGGUGAGGAAUACAUCGGAAUCUACUUUUUCGUGGGGGAUAACGUAGGGAAACUUACGCUAAUACCGCAUACGACCUACGGGUGAAAGCAGUGGAUCUUCGGACCUUGCGCGAUUGAAUGAGCCGAUGUCGGAUUAGCUAGUUGGCGGGGUAAAGGCCCACCAAGGCGACGAUCCGUAGCUGGUCUGAGAGGAUGAUCAGCCACACUGGAACUGAGACACGGUCCAGACUCCUACGGGAGGCAGCAGUGGGGAAUCUUGGACAAUGGGCGCAAGCCUGAUCCAGCCAUGCCGCGUGGGUGAAGAAGGCCUUCGGGUCGUAAAGCCCUUUUGUUGGGAAAGAAAAGCAGCAGGUUUAUACCCCGCUGUUCUGACGGUACCCAAAGAGUAAGCACCGGCUAACUUCGUG
rnacentral:rRNA from 1 species